UGAGGCAUGCAAGUCGCACGAGAACGCGGUAGCAAUACCGUUAGUAAAGUGGCGGAAGGGUGAGUAAUGGGUAGAUAACGUACCCAGGAGAUGGGCAUAACGGAUCGAAAGAUCCGCUAAUUCCCGAUAAGACCACAGGUGGGCAUCCAUUUGCGGUCAACCGCGGGGGACCUUCGGGCCUCGCGCUCUUGGAUCGGUCUACUCCCUACCAGCUAGUUGGCGGGGUAAUGGCCCACCAAGGCUUCGACGGGUACCCGGGCUUAGAGGCUGACCGGGCACAUCGGCACUGAGACACUGGCCGGACACCUACGGGUGGCUGCAGUUCGGAAUAUUCGGCAAUGGGCGAAAGCCUGACCGAGCGACGCCGCGUGCGGGAUGAAGGCCCUCUGGGUUGUAAACCGCUGUCACAGGUGAGCAAAUCACACGUAAUUAACAACUACGUGUGUUGAGUUAAGCUUGAGAGGAAGCCCCCGCUAAUCACGUGCCAGCAGCGGCGGUAAUACGUGAGGGGCGAACGUUGUUCGGUGUCACUGGGCUUAAAGGGCGCGUAGGUGGCUGUGUAAGUAACGUGUGAAAGCCCUCGGCUUACCCGGGGAAUUGCGCGUUAUACUGCAUGGCUUGAGGAUCUCAGGGGAAGGGGGAACUCCAGGUGUAGCGGUGAAAUGCGCAGAUAUCUGGGGGAAGGCCGGCGGCGAAGGCGCCCUUCUGGGAGACACCUGACACUGAGGCGCGAAAGCGUGGGGAGCAAACAGGAUUAGAUACCCUGGUAGUCCACGCCCUAAACGAUGGAUACUAAGUAGGGGUCCCUGCAAGGGGAUCCUUGCCGGAGCGAAAGCGUUAAGUAUCCCGCCUGGGGAGUAUGGUCGCAAGGCUGAAACUCAA
rnacentral:rRNA from 1 species